UGGCACCUACGGGGGGCAGCAGUCGGGAAUAUUGCGCAAUGGAGGAAACUCUGACGCAGUGACGCCGCGUAUAGGAAGAAGGUUUUCGGAUUGUAAACUAUUGUCGUUAGGGAAGAUAAAAGACUGUACCUAAGGAGGAAGCCCCGGCUAACUAUGUGCCAGCAGCCGCGGUAAUACGUAGGGAGCGAGCGUUAUCCGGAAUUAUUGGGCGUAAAGGGUGCGUAGAUGGCAUAGUAAGUCUUUUGUAAAAAUGCUGGGCUCAACCCAGUAGGGCAAAAGAUACUGCAAAGCUAGAGUAUGACAGA
rnacentral:rRNA from 1 species